rnacentral:rRNA from 1 species
AAGAGACAGCAGCAGCCACGGGAAUACGAAGGGGGCUAGCGUUGCUCGGAAUCACUGGGCGUAAAGGGUGCGUAGGCGGGUCUUUAAGUCAGGGGUGAAAUCCUGGAGCUCAACUCCAGAACUGCCUUUGAUACUGAAGAUCUUGAGUUCGGGAGAGGUGAGUGGAACUGCGAGUGUAGAGGUGAAAUUCGUAGAUAUUCGCGAGAACACCAGUGGCGAAGGCGGCUCACUGGCCCGAUACUGACGCUGAGGCACGAAAGCGUGGGGAGCAAACAGGAUUAGAGACCCCAGUAGUCCCUGUCUCUUAUAC